CAUCCGCCUAUGCCCUAGGGCUAGUGGAAGACUUAAGAUGGCGGCGUUUGCACGGAGUGCAAUCACUGCGUCCUUACGGGGGUUGCAAGGCGUCCGAAGUAUGAGUCCACUAACAAAAGUCCAGAAACUCGCCAGUUAAUAGUAUUGUGUCUCUUCAAAAUAUCGGAGAAUAAUUUCUUUCUCGCUGAUCGCCUAACUUCUACUGACGAAGCUUGGAAGUUGCAGAAGAUGGAGUUCGCUCUUGUUGCCCAGGCUGGAAUGCAAUGGCAUGACCUUGGCUCACUGCAACCUCUGCCUCCCCAGUUCAAGUGGUUCUCCUGCCUCAGCCUCCCGAGUAGCUGAGAUUACAGGUAUGCGCUACCACGCCCGGCUAAUUUUGUAUUUUUAGUAGAGACGGGGUUUCUCCAUGUUGGUCAGACUGGUCUUGUAGGAGAAAUAGACUUCACUAAAAUAUUACAGCCAAUUAGUAAAAAUAAGACAGUAAAUAGUAACACCUUGUCCUGGAGUGAUAGUAGCCAGUAUUGCUACCAUAUAUUACUGACAAUGUUUAAUUUUCAACAACAAAAAUAAUUGAGAGAUAAAGAGAAGUAAGAAAACGUGACCUUAUGGGGAAGAAGACUGGCAAAACAUCUCAACUUUGAAGGCAUAAGAUGUGUUACUAAGCAGACAAAUAUUUCAAAUUGGCCAUUAUAAAUAUCUUAAAAGAACUAGAGGACACCAUACCUCAGGAGGCAAUGAUAUAAUUACAAUAAUUUUGCAACUAGAGAAUAUAAAUAAAUAGGUAAGAAUUAUAGAAAAGAACCAUAUGGAAAUCUGGAGUUGUAAAGUAUAAUAACAGAAAUUACAAUUCAUUAGAGAGGUUUAAUACUAGAUUUUAACUGGUAGAAUAAACAAUCAUUGAAUUUGAAGAUAGAUUGAUAGAAAUCACCCAGUUUAAAAAAUACAGAAUAAAGAAGUAAGUAAAAUGCAGUUUCAGAGAAAUGGCAGAAGCCAUUGAGAAUACCAACAUAUGUGCAGUGGUAGUGCCAGAACAUAAGGACAACGAGCUGAGAGAAAAAAUAUUUAAAGAAAUAAUACCUGAAAAUUUUCUAUAUUAUGAAAAAAAAAUCCAAGAAGUGUAAAGAAUUUGAAGUAUAAUAAUUGCAAAUAUAUUCCCCCUUAGACACAUCAAAGUAAAAUUAUGAAAGUAAAAAAA
ensembl:lncRNA JPX JPX transcript, XIST activator